rnacentral:rRNA from 1 species
AACUGCAGUCGAGCGGUUGACGGGAGCUUGCUCCGUGAUUCAGCGGCGGACGGGUGAGUAAUGCCUAGGAAUCUGCCUAUUAGUGGGGGACAACGUUUCGAAAGGAACGCUAAUACCGCAUACGUCCUACGGGAGAAAGCGGGGGACCUUCGGGCCUUGGGCUAAUAGAUGAGCCUAGGUCGGAUUAGCUAGUUGGUGAGGUAAUGGCUCACCAAGGCGACGAUCCGUAACUGGUCUGAGAGGAUGAUCAGUCACACUGGAACUGAGACACGGUCCAGACUCCUACGGGAGGCAGCAGGGGGGAAUAUUGGACAAUGGGCGAAAGCCUGAUCCAGCCAUGCCGCGUGUGUGAAGAAGGUCUUCGGAUUGUAAAGCACUUUAAGUUGGGAGGAAGGGUUGUAGAUUAAUACUCUGCAAUUUUGACGUUACCGACAGAAUAAGCACCGGCUAACUCUGUGCCAGCAGCCGCGGUAAUACAGAGGGUGCAAGCGUUAAUCGGAAUUACUGGGCGUAAAGCGCGCGUAGGUGGUUUGUUAAGUUGGAUGUGAAAGCCCCGGGCUCAACCUGGGAACUGCAUCCAAAACUGGCAAGCUAGAGUACGGUAGAGGGUGGUGGAAUUUCCUGUGUAGCGUGAAAUGGCGUAAAAAGUUGAAUUUGGG